UUGUGCAAGAUACCCUAAAGGGAGAUAACAUCACUGAAAUUCGCCUCAAAUUUGUGAAGCGGUUAGAAGAUGCAGUACCUGUGGGAGAGGAUUAAGAAGAAUUAACAGAACUCUAGCAAAAUGAUAAUCUUCAGACUCUUGUGUCUUGAUAAUUUACAGUUUUAGGACCUUGCAUUCCAUCAAAUCUUGUCUGUCAUUGAUUGAAAAUUUAGGAUAUGAUGUACGUCAUUAUUAUGUGGAUAUGUGCGAAGGAGAAAAAAGAGAUAUGUGAUGUUGACACAUGUAUUGAAACAUUUGUAAAUGUAUCAUCUUUUGUGUAAAUGUUGUCGAGAUGUAUGUAUAUGUAGGAUAUCCCUGUAGAUGUAUUUGUGACUUACCGGUAAAUGUUUUUUUUUGUUUUUGAGAUAAGACAAUUUGGGUAUCGAUUUUUUGAUCCCUGUGGAUACAUGCAUGUUUUUGCAGCAAUUGAAGUGAAGGGAUCAGACAGAUUAUUACUGGUCAGUCUUGUUUGUUGUAACAUUAAAACAAAUUAAAAA
rnacentral:misc_RNA from 1 species